UACGUAGGGUGCAAGCGUUGUCCGGAAUUAUUGGGCGUAAAGAGCUCGUAGGCGGUCUGUCGCGUCGGAUGUGAAACCCCUGGGCUUAACCCUGGGCCUGCAUUCGAUACGGGCAGACUAGAGUUCGGUAGGGGAGACUGGAAUUCCUGGUGUAGCGGUGAAAUGCGCAGAUAUACAGGGAGGAACCACCGGGUGGCGAAGGCGGGUCUCUGGGCCGAAACUGACGCUGAGGAGCGAAAGCGUGGGGAGCAAACAGG
rnacentral:rRNA from 1 species